GAUGAACGCUAGCGGCAGGCCUAAUACAUGCAAGUCGAACGGUGUCUUCGGACAUAGUGGCGCACGGGUGCGUAACACGUAUGCAACCUACCUUACAUUGGGGGAUAGCCCUUCGAAAGGGAGAUUAAUACCGCAUAAGACAGUAGCUGGGCAUCCAGCAGCUGUUAAAGAUUUAUCGAUGUAAGCUGGGCAUGCGUCCAAUUAGCUAGUCGGUGAGGUAACGGCUCACCAAGGCAAUGAUUGGUAGGGGAACUGAGAGGUCAAUCCCCCACACUGGCACUGAGAUACGGGCCAGACUCCUACAGGAGGCAGCAGCAGGGAAUAUUGGGCAAUGGACGCAAGUCUGACCCAGCCAUGCCGCGUGCAGGAUGAAGGCGUUAUGCGUUGUAAACUGCUUUUAUACAGGAAGAAACGACUCUUGCGAGAGGCAUUGACGGUACUGUAUGAAUAAGCACCGGCUAACUCCGUGCCAGCCGCCGCAGUAACAC
rnacentral:rRNA from 1 species